GUCAGUCGUGCCUAAUACAUGCAAGUCGAGCGGACAGAUGGGAGCUUGCUCCCUGAUGUUAGCGGCGGACGGGUGAGUAACACGUGGGUAACCUGCCUGUAAGACUGGGAUAACUCCGGGAAACCGGGGCUAAUACCGGAUGGUUGUUUGAACCGCAUGGUUCAAACAUAAAAGGUGGCUUUGGCUACCACUUACAGAUGGACCCGCGGCGCAUUAGCUAGUUGGUGAGGUAACGGCUCACCAAGGCAACGAUGCGUAGCCGACCUGAGAGGGUGAUCGGCCACACUGGGACUGAGACUUGGCCCAGACUCCUACGGGAGGCAGCAGUAGGGAAUCUUCCGCAAUGGACGAAAGUCUGACGGAGCAACGCCGCGUGAGUGAUGAAGGUUUUCGGAUCGUAAAGCUCUGUUGUUAGGGAAGAACAAGUACCGUUCGAAUAGGGCGGUACCUUGACGGUACCUAACCAGAAAGCCACGGCUAACUACGUGCCAGUAGCCGCGGUAAUACGUAGGUGGCAAGCGUUGUCCGGAAUUAUUGGGCGUAAAGGGCUCGCAGGCGGUUUCUUAAGUCUGAUGUGAAAGCCCCCGGCUCAACCCGGGGAGGGUCAUUGGAAACUGGGGAACUUGAGUGCAGAAGAGGAGAGUGGAAUUCCACGUGUAGCGGUGAAAUGCGUAGAGAUGUGGAGGAACACCAGUGGCGAAGGCGACUCUCUGGUCUGUAACUGACGCUGAGGAGCGAAAGCGUGGGGAGCGAACAGGAUUAGAUACCCUGGUUAGUCCACGCCGUAAACGAUGAGUGCUAAGUGUUAGGGGGUUUCCGCCCCUUAGUGCUGCAGCUAACGCAUUAAGCACUCCGCCUGGGGAGUACGGUCGCAAGACUGAAACUCAAAGGAAUUGACGGGGGCCCGCACAAGCGGUGGAGCAUGUGGUUUAAUUCGAAGCAACGCGAAGAACCUUACCAGGUCUUGACAUCCUCUGACAAUCCUAGAGAUAGGACGUCCCCUUCGGGGGCAGAGUGACAGGUG
rnacentral:rRNA from 1 species